ACGGCGAGUGAAGCGGCAACAGCUCAAAUUUGAAAUCUGGCUUCGGCCCGAGUUGUAAUUUGCAGAGGAUGCUUUUGGUGCGGUGCCUUCCGAGUUCCCUGGAACGGGACGCCACAGAGGGUGAGAGCCCCGUAUGGUCGGACACCAAUCCUGUGUAAAGCUCCUUCGACGAGUCGAGUAGUUUGGGAAUGCUGCUCUAAAUGGGAGGUAAAUCUCUUCUAAAGCUAAAUACCGGCCAGAGACCGAUAGCGCACAAGUAGAGUGAUCGAAAGAUGAAAAGCACCUUGAAAAGGGGGUUAAACAGUACGUGAAAUUGUUGAAAGGGAAGCACUUGUGACCAGACUUGGGCCGGGCGGCUCAUCAGGGGUUCUCCCCUGUGCAUUCCGCCCGGUACAGGCCAGCAUCGGUUCUUACCGGGGGAUAAGAACGGCAGGAACGUGGCUCCCUCUCGGGGGAGUGUUAUAGCCUGCCGUACGAUACCCUGGCGGGGACCGAGGUUCGCGCUUCCGCAAGGAUGCUGGCGUAAUGGUUACUAGUGACCCGUCUUGAAACACGGACCAAGGAGUCGUCCAUUAGAGCGAGCGUUUGGGUGUAAAACCCGCACGCGUAAUGAAAGUGAAAUUAGGUGAGAGCUUCGGCGCAUCAUCGACCGAUCCUGAUGUUCUCGGAUGGAUUUGAGUAAGAGUUUUAACGGACGGACCCGAAAGACAGUGAACUAUGCUUGUAUAGGGUGAAGCCAGAGGAAACUCUGGUGGAGGCUCGCAGCGGUUCUGACGUGC
rnacentral:rRNA from 1 species